UAGAAUCAUGUGCACUGAAAAGU
rnacentral:piRNA from 1 species